rnacentral:tRNA from 1 species
UGGCUGAGACGGUAAAGCGUCUGCCUACAGUGCAGGAGACCCGGGUUCAAUCCCUGG